rnacentral:rRNA from 1 species
AUUGAACGCUGGCGGCAGGCCUAACACAUGCAAGUCGAGCGGAAACGAGUUGUCUGAACCUUCGGGGAACGAUAACGGCGUCGAGCGGCGGACGGGUGAGUAAUGCCUAGGAAAUUGCCCUGAUGUGGGGGAUAACCAUUGGAAACGAUGGCUAAUACCGCAUGAUGCCUACGGGCCAAAGAGGGGGACCUUCGGGCCUCUCGCGUCAGGAUAUGCCUAGGUGGGAUUAGCUAGUUGGUGAGGUAAGGGCUCACCAAGGCGACGAUCCCUAGCUGGUCUGAGAGGAUGAUCAGCCACACUGGAACUGAGACACGGUCCAGACUCCUACGGGAGGCAGCAGUGGGGAAUAUUGCACAAUGGGCGCAAGCCUGAUGCAGCCAUGCCGCGUGUGUGAAGAAGGCCUUCGGGUUGUAAAGCACUUUCAGUCGUGAGGAAGGUGGUAGUGUUAAUAGCACUAUCAUUUGACGUUAGCGACAGAAGAAGCACCGGCUAACUCCGUGCCAGCAGCCGCGGUAAUACGGAGGGUGCGAGCGUUAAUCGGAAUUACUGGGCGUAAAGCGCAUGCAGGUGGUUUGUUAAGUCAGAUGUGAAAGCCCGGGGCUCAACCUCGGAAUUGCAUUUGAAACUGGCAGACUAGAGUACUGUAGAGGGGGGUAGAAUUUCAGGUGUAGCGGUGAAAUGCGUAGAGAUCUGAAGGAAUACCGGUGGCGAAGGCGGCCCCCUGGACAGAUACUGACGCUCAGAUGCGAAAGCGUGGGGAGCAAACAGG